UACGGGGGGAGCAAGCGUUGUUCGGAUUUACUGGGCGUAAAGGGCGGGUAGGCGGCCACCGCAAGUCGACUGUGAAAUCUCCGGGCUUAACCCGGAAAGGUCAGCCGAUACUGCGGGGCUAGAGUGCAGAAGGGGCAACUGGAAUUCUCGGUGUAGCGGUGAAAUGCGUAGAUAUCAGGAGGAACACCGGUGGCGAAGGCGGCAUCCUGGACCGGUAUUGACGCUGAGGCGCGAAAGCUAGGGGAGCAAACGGG
rnacentral:rRNA from 1 species